UAGAAAACAGUUGCUUCGCAAGGUAUCUUUACCUGAAAAUACACAAUCGAAUUGAUUGAUCGUUGGUGUUCAGCAGUCAUAAAAGUCUACUUUAUUUGCUUUGAAGAACUACUGUAAUAGAUAUUUUGUCAGACAGCGUAGGCAGCAGCUCUAUAGAGAUAAGUGCUUUCCCUGCCUUAUGCUGAGAUUACUGCAACGUCCUUGAUCCACCACGACCCCUGGCUUCCUGCUUACACAAGCACUUGUCCCGCCGAGAAACGACUAAGAUUACCUAUGCAAGGCACAUGGUGUCAUGGUUCCACCUGUCACCAGAGGGCGGCAGAGACCGUCCUAGAGACAUUUACGACACUCAGCUGUGUCCUAUUUACUCGCUAUGAUUUCCCUGUUAAAAGAGGUGUG